ensembl:lncRNA
GUCUGUGUCUCAUGGCAUAGACAUCUGGAUGUAAUGUUAAAUAAACAUUACCCGCCACGAAAACCAGUUGGAUCUGUUUGUGGUUACUUCAGCCCCAAGAAAUUCCUUCUUUCAAGAUUCUGGCCUGAUACCUGUGGGAAGCAGCUUUUGACCUCAUCAGGCUGUUCCUCUGUCCGUGGGAUUCUCCAGGUAUUGGAGUCAGUUGCCGUGCCAUCCUCCAGGGGAUCUUCCUGACCCAGGGAUCGAACCUGCAUCUCCUGCAUCUCCUGCGCUGGCAGGUGGGUUCUUUUCCACUAGCACCACCUGGGAAGCCUGCAACAGAACAUCACUCAGCCACAAAAAAGAAUGAAACACUGCAGCAAUAUGGAUGGACCUGGAGAUGAUCGUACUUAACUACGAAAGCCAGAAAGACAAAGACGAACACCAUAUGAUGUAACUUAUAUGUGGAGUCUAAAAUAGGACUUAAGGGAAGACACCUAAGAAACAGAAACAGACUCUGACAUAGAGAACAAACUUGUGGUUGCCAAAGGGGAGGGAAGGAUUGGGAGUUCGGGAUUAGCAGAUGCAAACUAGUAUAUAUAGAACAGAUAAGAAACAGGGUCCUACUGUACAGCACAGGGAACUAAUUCAGUAUCCUGUGAUAAACCACAGUGGAAAGCAAUAUAUACAUAUAUAUAUAUAUGUGUAUGUAUAUAUAUAUAUAUGCUAUGCUAUGCUAAGUCGCUUCAGUCGUGUCCGACUCUGUGCAACC